AACGAACGCUGGCGGCAUGCCUAACACAUGCAAGUCGAACGAGACCUUCGGGUCUAGUGGCGCACGGGUGCGUAACGCGUGGGAACCUGCCCUUAGGUUCGGAAUAACUCCCCGAAAGGGGUGCUAAUACCGGAUAAUGUCUUCGGACCAAAGAUUUAUCGCCUUUGGAUGGGCCCGCGUUGGAUUAGCUAGUUGGUAGGGUAAAAGCCUACCAAGGCGACGAUCCAUAGCUGGUCUGAGAGGAUGAUCAGCCACACUGCGACUGAGACACGGCCCAGACUCUUACGGGAGGCAGCAGUGGGGAAUAUUGGACAAUGGGCGAAAGCAUGAUCCAGCAAUGCCGCGUGAGUGAUGAAGGCCUUAGGGUUGUAAAGCUCUUUUACCCGGGAUGAUAAUGACAGUACCGGGAGAAUAAGCUCCGGCUAACUCCGUG
rnacentral:rRNA from 1 species